GACAGAGGGUGCAAACGUUGUUCGGAAUUACUGGGCGUAAAGCGCGUGUAGGCUGUUUCGCAAGUCGGAUGUGAAAGCCCUGGGCUCAACCUAGGAAGUGCAUUCGAAACUGCGAGACUUGAGUCCUGGAGAGGAAGGCGGAAUUCUCGGUGUAGAGGUGAAAUUCGUAGAUAUCGAGAGGAACACCGGUGGCGAAGGCGGCCUUCUGGACAGUGACUGACGCUGAGACGCGAAAGCGUGGGGAGCAAACAGG
rnacentral:rRNA from 1 species